UUUGACCUCAAAUCAGGUAGGACUACCCGCUGAACUUAAGCAUAUCAAUAAGCGGAGGAAAAGAAACUAACAAGGAUUCCCCUAGUAACGGCGAGUGAAGAGGGAAAAGCUCAAAUUUGAAAUCUGGCGGCCUACGGUCGUCCGAGUUGUAAUCUAGAGAAGUGUUUUCCGUGCUGGACCGUGUACAAGUCCUUUGGAACAAGGCGUCAUAGAGGGUGAGAAUCCCGUCUACGACACGGACUACCAGUGCUUUGUGAUACACUCUCAACGAGUCGAGUUGUUUGGGAAUGCAGCUCAAAAUGGGUGGUAAAUUCCAUCUAAAGCUAAAUACAGGCGAAAGACCGAUAGCGAACAAGUACCGUGAGGGAAAGAUGAAAAGCACUUUGGAAAGAGAGUUAAAAAGUACGUGAAAUUGUUGAAAGGGAAACGCUUGAAGUCAGUCGCGUCUUCAGAAACUCAGCUAGGCUUCUGCCUGGUGUACUUUUCUGUUGGACGGGCCAGCAUCAGUUUUGGCCGCCAGAAAAAGGUGAGAGGAAGGUGGCACCUCCGGGUGUGUUAUAGCCUCUCAUCGUAUGUGGCGGCUGGGACUGAGGACUGCAGCAUGCCUUCAUGGCCGGGGUUCGCCCACGUAACGUGCUUAGGAUGCUGGCGUAAUGGCUUUAAACGACCCGUCUUGAAACACGGACCAAGGAGUCUAACAUGCCUGCGAGUAUUUGGGUGGUAAACCCAUAUGCGGAAUGAAAGUGAACAGUUGGGACUUCUGUCAUGGAAGGCACCGACGCCCGGACCAGACCUAUUGUGACGGAUCCGAGGUAGAGCAUGUAUGUUGGGACCCGAAAGAUGGUGAACUAUGCCUGAGUAGGGUGAAGCCAGAGGAAACUCUGGUGGAGGCUCGUAGCGAUUCUGACGUGCAAAUCGAUCGUCGAACUUGGGUAUAGGGGCGAAAGACUAAUCGAAC
rnacentral:rRNA from 1 species